GAUAUGUAUAGGUGUAUUUACUAAAAGAACAGUAUUGAUUUUUAAAUUGCAAACUUAUUGAUUAAACAAAUCACGAUAAAUCACAAGCUCCGCAAAUCGGGAAUGGGCCGGUCGAUAGAAGUCUGGCUCAGAGCAGAGAUGAGUCGUAAAGAAUAGGCGUCGCCAACUUUUCCCAUGGAGGGCAUAAAUUGGAUUCGGAAGCAGAUCACGUAACGGUUAAGAGUUCACAAAACUGUGCCAUAAAUCGGACGCGCGGAGGUGCGCCGGAGACAAACGGCAUGGCUCCUCGACAUUCAUGGCUGCCUGGUACUGAACUGUCCCGAGGUGGCUUCAAAUAAUGGGGUGUCUUUAGUUAAUUGGACGUAUCGUUAUUUUCUGGAUAAAAGAAACAUUAUCUUAAUACAUAUAAACUUAAAUUAAAA